CGGAGGGAGAGGAAUCACCAGCGUCACCCAGAAGAAAUGGGAAAGCAACGCCCAUUGUGACCAGCCCUUUCCCUUUGAGACCUGCAAGUAAGGCCUUCCUCCAACCUGCUCUAGAGCCCUGCCUGGAAAACUUCAAUCAUCAUUGAACUUGUAAUUCAGAGUACAAGGGAACAAAGACCUUUUUUUUUUGCCUCUGUAGUCUCAACUGUUCUAACCAAAGCAAGUUAAAAUACUUGCAACCACACGCCCUUAUUCUGAAAAAGAGCAAGGGAUGUAUACCACUCAUUAUGAAAAUACUAUAUACACCUGAAAAUCAGCUCAGCUUCCAGGCAGGGAGGGGUUAGAGCAAGAAACACGUGGGGUGUGUGGAAUUUCAUCCAACCCCCGUGGACCUGAUUUUGUGUUUACUGACAGGAGUUCGGAGAGGGUGAGAGCAGGGAUACAGAGGCCCUUGGGGCAGCUCCAUGACGUCCCAGAAUGUCCUCUGUGUAUGUCCAGGUUGUAGCAUGGGCCAGAAUUUCCUUCCUGCCAUGGCUGAGUAAUACUCCACCAUCUGUGUACUGAAUGAGAAUAGUCCUCCUGACCCGAGCCAGAGCACUCCAUCUUACAGCGGCCACCUCCAGGUGUGGGUGGCAGGGCAGUACCCUGGAAAACCAGUAGCCUAGAACAGGGGUUGGUGACUUCAGCAGUGCAGCAGCCCACAAGUUGUCCACUCCUCUACAGAAGCCCUGAAAAUGCUCACCUCACAGGACUUGUCCGCGAUGUUCUUUGCUCUGUUGGCCCCUCUUGGCUUGCAGGCAGAUGUUUCCCCUAGGUCUCUCCAGGAAAUGCAUGCAACAGAGAUACGUAUCCAGAAGUAGAACUGCCAGAUCUUGUGGGAAGUCUAUGCUUAAUUUUUUUGGUGAUCCAUCAUUUUCCAUAUCCACCAGUGAUGCACAAAAGCUUCAGCUUCUCCACAUCCUUGCUCUUGCUAGUUAUUUUCUGUUUUUGAAAAAUAGCAGCAGGCCAACCCACUCUCCGGUC